GGGGAAUAUUGCACAAUGGGGGAAACCCUGAUGCAGCGACGCCGCGUGAGUGAAGAAGGUCUUCGGAUCGUAAAACUCUGUCCUUGGUGACGAAGAAAAUGACGGUAACCAAGGAGGAAGCCCCGGCUAACUACGUGCCAGCAGCCGCGGUAAUACGUAGGGGGCGAGCGUUGUCCGGAUUUACUGGGCGUAAAGGGUGAGUAGGCGGUAAUAUGUGUCAGAUGUAAAAGGCUAAGGCUUAACCAUAGUAUGCAUUUGAAACUGUAUUACUUGAGUGCAGGAGAGGUAAGCGGAAUUCCUAGUGUAGCGGUGAAAUGCGUAGAUAUUAGGAGGAACACCAGUGGCGAAGGCGGCUUACUGGACUGUAACUGACGCCGAGUCACGAAAGCGUGGGUAGCAAAC
rnacentral:rRNA from 1 species